rnacentral:rRNA from 1 species
AUGGUGCCCGACGGAGGCAUGAAGGACCAGGAGGCCUCCACCUCGUCGUCUCCACCCGUUGCGGCAAUAACGAGGGCUGCGCGGCCGCCUAGGCCAGCGAGGUUCAAGAAGAUCCCCGUGUGGCAGUGGCACCCACUGAAGUACAUGCGGUUCCGCGUGGGGGCCACCAAGAGGAUGGUCGACGCAUCAUCGUCCGCUCGGGCGGCAAGGGGAGCCGGGGAUGUGACCACGGCGGUGGCGGCGGCGCCCAAGGAGAGUGAGCAGGAGGACGGGAAGGAGCACAUAUGCGGUGGCUGGAAGAGUGAGGAUGGAAGUUUGUGUUGCGGAUAUUCUAGCUUCAGAGGGAGAAGAGCAAGUAUGGAAGACUUUUAUGACAUGAAAUCAUCUAAAAUGGACGCUAAACAAAUAAACCUCUUUGGAGUAUUUGAUGGACAUGGUGGUUCAUGUGCCGCUGAGUAUCUCAAGGAGCACUUAUUUGAAAAUCUCUUGAAACAUCCAGCUUUCAUUAGUGAUACAAAAACAUCAAUAAGUGAGAGCUAUACGAAGACUGACUCAGAUUUCUUGGAUGCUGAAACCAAUAUUCAUAGAGAGGACGGGUCAACUGCAUUAACCGCAAUUUUGGUUGGCAACCAUCUCUAUGUGGCAAAUGUUGGCGAUUCACGGGCUGUAAUAUUGAAGGCGGGCAAAGCUAUUGCGCUCUCGGAUGAUCACAAACCAGACAAAAGUGACGAGCGGGAACGGAUUGAGAAUGUUGGAGGAGUUGUUACAUUUAGUGGAACAUGGAGGGUAGGUGGUGUACUCGCAAUGUCUCGGUUGUUGCAUAGCCUGAGAUUCAGGCAAUUUACUCAAGCAUUUCCAAUUUUUUGUCAGGAACAAGAAAUAGAUGAUGAAUUGGAGUAUCUGAUUUUGGCUAGUGAUGGCCUGUGGGACGUGGUGUCAAAUGAGCACGCCGUUGCAUUUGUGAAGGAAUAG